rnacentral:rRNA from 2 species
AGACCCGAAACCCGGUGAUCUAGCCAUGGGCAGGUUGAAGGUUGGGUAACACUAACUGGAGGACCGAACCGACUAAUGUUGAAAAAUUAGCGGAUGACCUGUGGCUGGGGGUGAAAGGCCAAUCAAACCGGGAGAUAGCUGGUUCUCCCCGAAAGCUAUUUAGGUAGCGCCUCGUGAAUUCAUCUCCGGGGGUAGAGCACUGUUUCGGCUAGGGGGCCAUCCCGGCUUACCAACCCGAUGCAAACUGCGAAUACCGGAGAAUGUUAUCACGGGAGACACACGGCGGGUGCUAACGUCCGUCGUGAAGAGGGAAACAACCCAGACCGCCAGCUAAGGUCCCAAAGUCAUGGUUAAGUGGGAAACGAUGUGGGAAGGCCCAGACAGCCAGGAUGUUGGCUUAGAAGCAGCCAUCAUUUAAAGAAAGCGUAAUAGCUCACUGGUCGAGUCGGCCUGCGCGGAAGAUGUAACGGGGCUAAACCAUGCACCGAAGCUGCGGCAGCGACGCUGAUGCGUUGUUGGGUAGGGGAGCGUUCUGUAAGCCUGUGAAGGUGGCCUGUGAGGGUUGCUGGAGGUAUCAGAAGUGCGAAUGCUGACAUAAGUAACGAUAAAGCGGGUGAAAAGCCCGCUCGCCGGAAGACCAAGGGUUCCUGUCCAACGUUAAUCGGGGCAGGGUGAGUCGACCCCUAAGGCGAGGCCGAAAGGCGUAGUCGAUGGGAAACGGGUUAAUAUUCCCGUACUUGGUGUUACUGCGAAGGGGGGACGGAGAAGGCUAUGUUGGCCGGGCGACGGUUGUCCCGGUUUAAGCGUGUAGGUGUGUGUUCCAGGUAAAUCCGGUUCACUUUAACACUGAGGCGUGAUGACGAGGCACUACGGUGCUGAAGCAACAAAUGCCCUGCUUCCAGGAAAAGCCUCUAAGCAUCAGGUAACAUCAAAUCGUACCCCAAACCGACACAGGUGGUCAGGUAGAGAAUACCAAGGCGCUUGAGAGAACUCGGGUGAAGGAACUAGGCAAAAUGGUGCCGUAACUUCGGGAGAAGGCACGCUGACACGUAGGUGAAGUGAUUUACUCAUGGAGCUGAAGUCAGUCGAAGAUACCAGCUGGCUGCAACUGUUUAUUAAAAACACAGCACUGUGCAAACACGAAAGUGGACGUAUACGGUGUGACGCCUGCCCGGUGCCGGAAGGUUAAUUGAUGGGGUCAGCGCAAGCGAAGCUCCUGAUCGAAGCCCCGGUAAACGGCGGCCGUAACUAUAACGGUCCUAAGGUAGCGAAAUUCCUUGUCGGGUAAGUUCCGACCUGCACGAAUGGCGUAAUGAUGGCCAGGCUGUCUCCACCCGAGACUCAGUGAAAUUGAACUCGCUGUGAAGAUGCAGUGUACCCGCGGCAAGACGGAAAGACCCCGUGAACCUUUACUAUAGCUUGACACUGAACAUUGAGCCUUGAUGUGUAG